CCCCGCCCUGCCCCUGCGUCGCGUCGCGCUGCAGCUCCCGCCCCAGCCGGGCCAAAGAUGGGGUGGCGGCUGCGGUUUUUCGCGCGACUUCCUUAGAUCUUGGGGCAAACGCGCAGAUAGUUCGGACGCGGGUCCGGGCUGAUUUCGCUUCGUUUUAUUGCAUUUUAUUACUAAUUAAAAAGCUUUCGUUCUCCGUCGCCCCAGCCCGCUCUUCUCCCGAACUCUCCCCUCGGCCCCCGCCUCCGCCCCGCGAUUGCUCCGGGGAUGCCGGCGCCCGCGCGCCAGAACCCGGCUCCUCCGAAGCCCCCUCCGAGCCCCGCCGCCGCCCUCGGGCCUCCCGGGCCCCCGCCUCCUCCCCUUCGCCCCCACCCAGCGGCGGCGGCUUCGGGCUUCUCGGCUCAAAAACAACAGCCGAGGCGCCGCCAGCUCCGCGCUCCGCCACUGCCCCGGCCGGCGGGCUGCACUCGGACCCGCCGUCCUCCGUAGGGCGCCCAGCGACGGAGCGCAGCGCACUCUGCGUUGGGGGCGGCUUGGGGGCCGCAGUCCGAACACCGGGCGUCCUCUGCCCCGCGUCACCCUGGCGUCCGGCACCUCUCCGCCUCGGGGGCGUAUCCGCGCGCUCUGGCCUCGGCGCCCCUGCUCKACUGCCGCCGUGGGCCCCCAGGUUCCUGUCUGGGUAGGAAAGAAAAUACACAUGGGCUUUCCCGGAAGUCUGGAACUGUGGAACUGCCCAGGAGCACUCUCCACUGGACUGAGACUCACAGACCUGACCCCCCCCAACAGGUGGACCACUGAGUAGGUGAGGUUAGGUCUCUCUAGGUAUGUCCUCCUCUGCUCCACCCUUGGUGGAAAUGUGUCUCAGAUUUAAUCAACAGCCGUAUGGAGGCCACGAGGGGCCCUUGGGGAUGAUCCAAC
rnacentral:lncRNA from 1 species